AUUGAACGCUGGCGGCAGGCCUAACACAUGCAAGUCGAGCGGAUGAAGGGAGCUUGCUCCUGGAUUCAGCGGCGGACGGGUGAGUAAUGCCUAGGAAUCUGCCUGGUAGUGGGGGAUAACGUCCGGAAACGGGCGCUAAUAUCGCAUACGUCCUGAGGGAGAAAGUGGGGGUUCUUCGGACCUCACGCUAUCAGAUGAGCCUAGGUCGGAUUAGCUAGUUGGUGGGGUAAAGGCCUACCAAGGCGACGAUCCGUAACUGGUCUGAGAGGAUGAUCAGUCACACUGGAACUGAGACACGGUCCAGACUCCUACGGGAGGCAGCAGUGGGGAAUAUUGGACAAUGGGCGAAAGCCUGAUCCAGCCAUGCCGCGUGGGUGAAGAAGGUCUUCGGAUUGUAAAGCACUUUAAGUUGGGAGGAAGAGCAGUAAGUUAAUACCUGGCUGUUUUGACGUUACCAACAGAAUAAGCACCGGCUAACUUCGUG
rnacentral:rRNA from 1 species